rnacentral:tRNA from 1 species
UGCCUAAGCCCAAGUUCGAACUGGGGACCUUUAGUGUGUGAGACUAACGUGAUAACCAACUACACCACCCAGAC